rnacentral:rRNA from 1 species
UACGGGGGGGGUAAGCGUUGUUCGGAAUUACUGGGCGUAAAGGGCUCGUAGGCGGCCAACUAAGUCAUACGUGAAAUCCCUCAGCUUAACUGGGGAACUGCGUGUGGUACUGGAUGGCUUGGAUUUGGGAGAGGGAUGCGGAAUUCCAGGUGUAGCGGUGAAAUGCGUAGAUAUCUGGAGGAACACCGGUGGCGAAGGCGGAUCUCUGGGCCAUUACUGACGCUGAGGAGCGAAAGCGUGGGGAGCGAACAGG